rnacentral:hammerhead_ribozyme from 1 species
CCACUGCUGAGGAGUCCCACAAUAGGACGAAAAGGCCGUCCAAUGC